rnacentral:rRNA from 1 species
GAUGAACGCUGGCGGCGUGCCUAAUACAUGCAAGUCGAGCGAACGGACGAGAAGCUUGCUUCUCUGAUGUUAGCGGCGGACGGGUGAGUAACACGUGGAUAACCUACCUAUAAGACUGGGAUAACUUCGGGAAACCGUAGCUAAUACCGGAUAAUAUUUUGAACCGCAUGGUUCAAAAGUGAAAGACGGUCUUGCUGUCACUCAUAGAUGGAUCCGCGCUGCAUUAGCUAGUUGGUAAGGUAACGGCUUACCAAGGCAACGAUGCAUAGCCGACCUGAGAGGGUGAUCGGCCACACUGGAACUGAGACACGGUCCAGACUCCUACGGGAGGCAGCAGUAGGGAAUCUUCCGCAAUGGGCGAAAGCCUGACGGAGCAACGCCGCGUGAGUGAUGAAGGUCUUCGGAUCGUAAAACUCUGUUAUUAGGGAAGAACAUAUGUGUAAGUAACUGUGCACAUCUUGACGGUACCUAAUCAGAAAGCCACGGCUAACUACGUG